AACCUAUGACCAGUGACCAGUGAGCUGUCUGGUACUGAACACACUCUCUGGUUUGGUCAGCAGAUCAGACAAAGAGAACCAUUUUUUCAGAUUGUUUCGUGUGUGGAUUACUGUUAUUCUCCCUCAUACAUCAUGUCAGGAAACUUCCAAAGUCCACCUUUCUUUGGGACAGAAAGUGGUCUUCAGCCCUCUCUGCCUAUGAUGAGCAACUCUACAAACUCAGGAAGGGUGUGCAACACCUCCAGUGUUUCCACCCCAGCUGUGAGUUUAGCAUGGCUCCUGCCACCAAGCACCAACACUUCCCUCCAGAUGAUCACAGGCAGAGCCUACCUUAACCCACAUGCUGACAUGACCAUGCUGGUGGAGCUGAAUGAUCAGAGCCAGAUCUCAACCUCUGCACUCUUCUAUCCAGGUGUUCUCAAGUGGGAACUCACGGAAAGCAAAGAUAGGGGAGAUGCUCUCCAGGAAUUCAAUAGGACCAUCACUGACCAAGACAAUGCACUCUCCUCCCUGUCUGUGACAUCCCAGUGUGAUAAAAUUUUAGAUCCCAAUACCAUAGCCCCUUUCCAUCCAUCACUUUUAACCAGUUUUGUCCAAGUUACACCACCACAGGUACCAGAUCAAGGAUAUAGCCUGGCACCUUCCUACCAGGAUGGCAGCCAGGUGUACUACUACAACCACAACCUCAUGGACCAUCUGAUACCGGGAGAACUGGGGCAGUGUCUGCAGCCCUACAGCUCUGUGUCCUGCCUUGUGAGCAAGGAUUCUGCCCCUCAACCAGAGAUGCUGAUGGUGGGAAAGGUGAUUCAGCCAAGGGAUGCCCUAAUACCACUCUCCACCUCUGGCUUCUCCUAUUCCACAUCUGGUCAAAAUAUGCCAGACAUCAGUCUUCCUGUGGUGGACAUGGAGACAUCCCAAGGAUUGCUACCCUCGGGCCAGACAGUCAGUCUGUUGCAGAGUCCAGAACUCUGCAAUAUUUCCACCGAGGUUUUCAAGAUGAGGACACCACCUGUUAAUGGGAACAGUUUAUUAACAGCCCCCGUGUACAGUUCUUCAGAAUUCCUGACCUUGCCUCUAGCUCCAAGCCUGGAAGAAAAAGAGAAUGAAAACAUGCUUGAGAUGAAAGCUGAGCUGUCAAUGCCUGGGGAUGCCUAUGAGGGCACUAAAGAAAACCAAGGCCCAUCACACCUGCCUUUAGUGCACCCUGACUGCACUGAUACAAGAAGUCUAAGACCAAAGUCUGCUUUUGACAAUGCCAGCAUGAAAGGCAUCAGUGUGGGUCUGGAAGAGCAAGAGAAGCUGGAGAAUGAGACUGGAUUCAGAAACAACUUUGACGACAUCACUACACUGGGAGCAGGUGAUCACCUUCCCCAGUUCUUCAAAACCCUCAAAGACAUAGACUGGGGCCCUCCCCUUCAGAGCUGGAGAGUCAUGAGCAGCUCCUCUGAAAAGGUGACAAAGAAUGACCUAAAAGCCUCUGACCUGCUCGAUGGAGCUCCUCAGGCUAAAAUCCAGCACCAGGACCUGGUCAGGGGAGAGGGGAGUGGACGCUGUGCAAAGGAAAAGGAAAGAGCUAUUGAAAACAUCUCAAAGCAUCUGGAUGGCAAAGCUCCCAAAGAGGCACCCAGCAAGCACAGCAGAGCUAGAAAACAGGGGCAAGAAAGACCAAGUGGGCCAGAGAACAACUCCAAGAAAACACAGGAGCUUAAGCAGUCAAGGAACAGAGUCAAAGCAGAAGAGAAGCCCACCAUCCCCAAGACCAAGAGGAAGAGGAACCCACCUAAGCUCUGUCAAAACAGCUUCAAGAAGCCUCGAACCCACCUUGCAAUGCACAUGCUGGAGUCCGUGCAGGUCUUCCACCCACUCGGGAAGAAGAUUGAGAAGAAAACUGGCAUCUCUUCCUUCGGGGGUCUGCGAACCUCCACCAACAACAAAGAUCAAGGCCCAGGCCCAGCCACCUCUGCACUGCUAGAUAUGCCACCUGAGGGCCGGGGUCCUGACAGAAUCCCAGGCAAAGCUCAGAGAGCAAAGAUCAGUGCUCACAAGGAGUGUACAUCUACAUCCCAGUAUGAGCUGCCCUUGCCUGGGAAGGUCAAGUUAGUACCUUUGCCUUUCCCAACACUGGACCAACCUCAAGCCAGACCUGCUUCUAGAAAGCCUCUCCCCCUGGCUUCACACAGGCCCACUGCAGCUUACCCUGUGAGGCUUCAUCCCCACUCAGCUCAUCCAUCCAAACCAGCUCCUGUAAGCACAUCUCUGAUGGCCUCUGCCAAUUCAGCUCCUCCAAUUUCCUUCAGUGCUACACAACCUAAUAUAGCCAACACCAGUCAGUCUAGUGCUAUGCCUCAGUUGGCCUACAUGAGGCUUGUACCCUACAGAGCAUCCUCUCACACUUCAUUCCAGAGAGAGCUUAUUUCUUCUGCCAGGAAUAAGGCACCAUCACCACCCAAACCUCAAACCCAACAUCGACUGCAAGACUUCAGCUGCCAAUCAAUUCCAUGGAGGAAAGUCAACAUUCUGGGACCACUCAUCUCACAGCCCAUCACAAAAGAGCAGAGGCCAGAGAGGGAAGCCAUGAAGAGGCGUGCUCAACAGGAGCGUGAGAAUGCUGCCAAGUGUAGCUCUCCUGGGAAACUACAGCUUUUCCUUCACAGGGAAACUGAUAUGGAAAUUUCUCAAUAUUAUGGCUAUGCAAUGUAGGAGCUGGCCAGAACUUGUAACAUAGUACUUGUGAUGUGUAUAAUGACAGGUACACAGAUACAGAUAUAUACAUAGAACUCCAAGGUUCAUAUAAGAGUGUAGAUGCAUAAUUAAAUAUGUAGCUAUGUAGAUGAAUAUGUAGAUGUUUGUGUUUAUAUAAAUGAACAGACAAAUUUUCUAUAAUAAUUUUAAAUAUUUGAAGUCAGCAAAAUUAACUGGAGUAAUUUUAGUCAGUUCUUUAAUCCAUAGCAUAUACAGGGCUUUGUUAUUUAAGUCAGUUCUUUAAUCCAUAGCAUAUACAGGGCCUUUGUUGUUUAUGUCAGUUCUUUAAUCCAUAGUAUAUAUAGGAGAGGUCUUUGUUAUUGUUCUCAUAACUUUAAU
rnacentral:lncRNA from 1 species